ACAACCUGCUUAGUAAUGUUGAAAAAGGGAUCGAGUGCUCCUGUGUCCAGCACCAGCUUGCAGUGCUUUAGAUCAAAGAUCAAGGGCCUCGUUUGGAUUAGGGUUAGCUUUGCCCAAAGGCCGUUUGGACAUAGUGAUCAUCACCAUGCUGGUCGCCACCGCCGUCUGCUGUUACCUCUUCUGGCUCAUCGCCAUCCUGGCGCAGCUGAACCCCCUGUUCGGGCCCCAGCUGAAGAAUGAGACCAUCUGGUACGUGCGCUUCCUGUGGGAGUGACCUGCCGCCCCCGACCCAGGUGCCCAGCUCUCGGAAUGACUGUGGCCCCACUGUCCCUGACAACCCCUUCGUCCGGACCCUCCCCCACACAACUAUGUCUGGUCACCAGCUCCCUCCUGCUGGCACCCAGAGACCCGGACCCGCAGGGCCUGCCUGGUUCCUGGAAGUCUUCCCAGUCUUCCCAGCCAGCCCGGGCCCUGGGGAGCCCUGGGCACAGCAGCGGCCGA
rnacentral:sRNA from 1 species